CUAUUGUGGAGACUGGAAUCGAUUGGUGGAGUCUAGAUUUGAGACUAAAGUUUGAAUCAGUCAGACUCUAGUGUUCUGAUUAGAAAGAUCGUCAAGUAUAAAGAUCACCAGAGGUCAAAGUUAGGAUCAGUAGGAUCCGAAGCUAUGUACUGAAUGACUUCUUACAGCCUCCUUGAGGUUCAGAGAGACAUAUCUAUCUCUG
rnacentral:lncRNA from 1 species